rnacentral:sRNA from 1 species
UAGGGAUCUUCAGUUUCUGUGUCGUAUGCUUAAUCA